UACGGGGGGGGCAAGCGUUGUUCGGAAUUACUGGGCGUAAAGGGCUCGUAGGCGGCCUACUAAGUCAGACGUGAAAUCCCCGGGCUCAACCUGGGAACUGCAUCCGAAACUGCCUUGCUAGAGUAUGGGAGAGGGAAGUGGAAUUUCCGGUGUAGCGGUGAAAUGCGUAGAUAUCGGAAGGAACAUCAGUGGCGAAGGCGACUUCCUGGACCAAUACUGACGCUCAGGUGCGAAAGCGUGGGGAGCAAACAGG
rnacentral:rRNA from 1 species